GACGAACGCUGGCGGCGUGCUUAACACAUGCAAGUCGAACGGAAAGGCCCUGCUUUUUUGGGCUGCCGGGUUGCGAAACGGGGGAGUAACACGUAAGUAACCGGCCCUUGAUUUUGGGAUAACUUCAGGAAACGGGGGUUAAUACAGUAUAGGAGCCCCCGUUCCAGGGUGGGGGUGGGAACUUUUGGGCGGUCGGGGAUGGAUGCGCGGCUUAUGAGCUUGUUGGUGGGGUAGUGGCUUACCAAGCCUUUGACGGGUAGCCGGCUGGGGAGGGUGACCGGCCACAUGAGGACUGAGAGACGGCCCAGACGCGUACGGGAGGCAGCAGUGGGGAAUAUUGCCCAAUGGGAGGAAGCCUGAUGCAGCAACGCCGCGUGCGUGAUGACGGCUUUCGGGUUGUGAACCGCUUUCGCUUGUGACGAAGCGUUAGUGACGGUAAUGGGUAAAGAAGCACCGGCUAACUACGUG
rnacentral:rRNA from 1 species